rnacentral:tRNA from 1 species
GCUCACAUAGCUCAGUUGGCAGAGCGUCACCUUGGUAAGGUGGAGGUCGUCGGUUCAAUCCCGAUUGUGAGCU